ACCUGGGGGGCUCAGUCGGUUAAGCAUCUGACUUCAGCUCAGGUCAUGAUCUCACAGUUCGUGGGUUCGAGUCCCAUGUCAGGCU
rnacentral:tRNA from 1 species